rnacentral:rRNA from 1 species
GUUAUCAUAGCUUGCUAUGAUAACAAUUAGUGGCAGACGGGUGAGUAAUGCAUAGGAAUCUACCUAGUAGUAUGGGAUAGCCACUAGAAAUGGUGGGUAAUACUGUAUAAUCCCUGCGGGGGAAAGAUUUAUCGCUAUUAGAUGAGCCUAUGUUAGAUUAGCUAGUUGGUAGGGUAAAGGCCUACCAAGGCAGUGAUCUAUAGCUGGUCUGAGAGGAUGAUCAGCCACACUGGAACUGAGAUACGGUCCAGACUCCUACGGGAGGCAGCAGUGGGGAAUAUUGGACAAUGGGCGCAAGCCUGAUCCAGCUAUGCCGCGUGAGUGAGGAAGGCCUUAGGGUUGU